UUAUAUAAUUAGCACUUUUAAAACUAAAGUUUGCUAACUCUUCAAUGCCAACUGCUUACUCAAAUGUCCCAUGCAUUGAGUAAGUUUUCAUUGGCAAUCCUGUACGGGAGGGGAUUAAAAUAGGAAAUGCAGCGGUAAACCAAAGGGGCGGUCAGCGGUGGAUCAUUUUUUGCAGUGCUUCCCUUCCUUCUCUUCCAAAGCGAGCUGCCCACUUUCUCCCUCCCCCCCUUUUUCCCCCGCAUCACUCGCCACCUCGCGCAGGCCGCGGCGCUUCCCUUCUACUCUCUUCUCCGCCUCCGCCGCUCGCUCGCUGCAGCCGCCGUACCAUAUGCCCCCAACCGGGCGGCUCCUCGCGGUAGCCGCCCUCUCCUUCCUCUGUUUACAGGGGUUGUUCGGCGAUUCGGGUAGUGCAUUUGCUCAUAGCCAGCCGCCGCUUCACCGGAUCGUUCGCGCAGCGGAAAGUGACGGCGGCCUCAUGCCGAUGCCUGAGCUCUCACCCAGCGGCUCUCCCAAGCCAUUUGUCCCCUUUCUGGCGCCAGCCCCGCUCGCGCCAUUCUUUAACAACAGCACCCCCAAGCUGUCAGGGAAAUGCACACUGAACUUUACCGCGUUCGAUAAACUGAUGACCACCACGGCUGUCGACUGCUUUACCUCUUUUGCUCCGUUCUUGGCGAAUGUGAUUUGCUGCCCCCAGCUUCAGGCAACACUGGCCAUCCUCAUAGGGCAGUCAAGCAAGCAGACAGGGUCUCUCGCGUUGGAUCCCACUGUCGCCAACUACUGCCUGUCGGAUGUCCAGGAGCUGCUGUUGAGCCAGGGUGCCAGUGAUAAUCUCCACAGACUUUGCUCAGUUCACCUCUCGAAUGUCACCGAGGGAUCAUGCCCUGUUAGCAGGGUGGAUGUGUUUGAGCGUGUCGUCGACUCGUCGAAGCUCCUUGAAGCCUGUCGGAAGGUGGAUCCUGUUAACGAAUGCUGCAGCCAGAUAUGUCAGAAUGCUAUUAACGAAGCUGCCCAGAAGAUCUCUUUGAAGGAUGGAGGUUUGACAAGCUACGCUGGGAGUCCCAAAGUUCAUAGUUGCAGGAACGUUGUUCUGAGAUGGUUAUCAAGCAGGCUUGACCCACCAUCCGCGAAGCAAAUGCUGAGACUGAUAUCUAACUGCAACGUCAAUGGAGUUUGUCCGCUAAGCUUUCCAGACACAAGUAAGGUGGCAAAAGAGUGUGGUGGAACAAUCGAGAACAGUACUACAUGUUGCAAGGCUAUGUUAAGUUAUGUAGCCCAUUUGCAAAAGCAAAGCUUCAUAACAAAUUUGCAAGCUUUAAAUUGUGCUGCUUUACUUGGGGCAAAGUUGCAAAAAAUGAAUGUGAGCACAAAUGUGUAUAGCUCAUGUCAAAUAACUCUGAAGGAUUUUUCACUUCAAGGUAAGUUACAUGAGAAUCAUAUUUACCCUCUGGCUCUCCAUUGCUUGGCAACUGAACUGAUGCAAUAUCUGUCUUUCUUAUCAACCUUUGUGUUUGAUUGACUGGCUCCCUACUGAAUUCGCAAACAGUUGGAUCUCAAGGUAAGUUAACAUUUUCAAACUUUUUUUGUUUUGUUUUAAUGUGUAUUGUAUGUUCUAAAUCAUUUUUUACAUGACAUGCUAAGUUCUGAUUGGGCUUAGACUGAAUAACGCUUCUUGAAACCUGUGAUUGAUGUACAUGUAUUACCACAUCUGUGUUUUAAGACAUACAACAAUAUGAUCUAAAAGUUGUGUCUGAUAUACUACAUAUUAGCAGGAGGCCAACAAUCUGAACUUUGAGCUGUUCCUUUUAGUUUUCAAAGGGUUAAAUUAUGAUUAUGCUCUCUUAGAGAGAUAGAAGUAAGAACAAGAACUAUUGGAUGAAUCAGCUCAUAGCAAUUGUUUUAGAUAUCCAAGGCCUAAGCUGAUAAUUGAUUGUUUGGAAAGGGGGACUAGGAUCCAAAUCCCUUAGAUUUAUUUUAGUUUUGAACAUCCUAAAAAUUCCUAGAGCAAUCCCCCUCAUCCAAACAGACCCUAAUUGAAAACAUUCUUGGAUCAUGUGUAAUAGAAGUAGUUCUCAAGCCAUUAUUCAAAUAAGUAGCAUCAGUUAUCUAUAGGAGAGCAUGAAGGUUGCAAAUUCUCUAUGAUGGAACUGCAUGUAGAAGCUGAAAUUCUAAAAUCUGGAUGCCUCCUUCCAAGCAUGCCCUCUGAUGCAUCCCUUGACCGUGUUUCUGGGAUUAGUUUCACAUGUGAUCUGAAUGAUAACAUUGCAGCCCCAUGGCCAUCUUCUAUGCAAGCACCAUCUUCUUCG